rnacentral:hammerhead_ribozyme from 1 species
AUCCAGCUGGAGAGUUCCAAAUAGUACGAAACGCGCGUCAAAUUGGAU